rnacentral:rRNA from 1 species
UACGAAGGGGGCUAGCGUUGUUCGGAAUUACUGGGCGUAAAGCGCACGUAGGCGGACAUUUAAGUCAGGGGUGAAAUCCCAGAGCUCAACUCUGGAACUGCCUUUGAUACUGGGUGUCUUGAGUAUGGAAGAGGUGAGUGGAAUUCCGGAGUGUAGAGGUGAAAUUCGUAGAUAUUCGGAGGAACACCAGUGGCGAAGGCGGCCUCACUGGUCCAUUACUGACGCUGAGGUGCGAAAGCGUGGGGAGCAAACAGG